rnacentral:snoRNA from 1 species
AUAGCCGGUGAUGCCUUAUUUUCCAUGCUAAUGCUGAUGCUAAGUGACGAAAACGAUUCUCACGACGGUCAACUGAGGCUAUC